CCGCCAUCAGGAGGAGGAGGAGGAGGAUCUCUACACCCGCGGACCCUGGCUCUGCCAGCCUCGGAACCUGCUGUGGCUUCCUCUACCUCCUCCAGCUGCCUAGCCUGGUCUGAGAGUCCAGCUCUGGGCUGAGGAGGAGGAAGUCGCGGCCCAGAGGGUACAGCAACAGUGGAGGCCGGCUGUACGUGUUCCUGUAUAAGGGCCCGAGAGGUGUCAGUGCCUGGGAAAGACGUCUACAGCAGGGAGGGAAUAAAUAACCACUGGGGUGCGUCUCCCUCCAGCCCUUUUCCAGCCUGUAGACUGUGGAAACCCACAGAGCACUCAACUGCAGCUUGCGGAUAAUCCUUAAAUUAAACCUGGAAAGGGUCCCGGGACCCGCACUCAAUACCCUGCAAAAUUUAGAUGUGCUAGCGAUUGCUUGUCUGACUGGGCCGUUUCUCCUCGCAAAUGAUGGUGAAUUACUUACAAAAAAAAAAAAAAGAAAAAAAAUGCGCCUAGACUUCUCUGGGAUGUGUGGGGGAAGGGAGGGAGCCGCUGGUUCCUUUCGCCUUGUCCGCCCUCGCCCUCGAUCUUUCUCUCCACCACCGCCCGGCAAGCUCUGCUCAUGUAAAACCAGAACAAUUAGAGAGUAAUGAAUUCUCUGGAACAGCAACUCCUACAGACUCUCAGCUCUGCCCUCGCUCCAGCGCCUCCCCGUCCUCCUUCCCAGCAACCAGGCAAGAGUACUGCAGACCUUCAAAAACCAGCCUCGGUUAGCACCUGCAUCCUGACAAUUUAUAAAUGAAUUCUCCACUGAGUGUGUAAAG
rnacentral:lncRNA from 1 species